rnacentral:rRNA from 1 species
AGUGAACGCUGGCGGUAGGCCUAACACAUGCAAGCCGAACGGCAGCACAGUAAGAGCUUGCUCUUACGGGUGGCGAGUGGCGGACGGGUCAGGAAUACAUCGGAAUCUACUUUUUCGUGGGGGAUAACGUAGGGAAACUUACGCUAAUACCGCAUACGACCUACGGGUGAAAGCAGGGGAUCUUCGGACCUUGCGCGAUUGAAUGAGCCGAUGUCGGAUUAGCUAGUUGGCGGGGUAAAGGCCCACCAAGGCGACGAUCCGUAGCUGGUCUGAGAGGAUGAUCAGCCACACUGGAACUGAGACACGGUCCAGACUCCUACGGGAGGCAGCAGUGGGGAAUAUUGGACAAUGGGCGCAAGCCUGAUCCAGCCAUACCGCGUGGGUGAAGAAGGCCUUCGGGUUGUAAAGCCCUUUUGUUGGGAAAGAAAAGCAGCAGGUUAAUACCCCGCUGUUCUGACGGUACCCAAAGAAUAAGCACCGGCUAACUUCGUG